AUUCUACUAUGGAUAAUUAAAUACAUUAUUCCAAAUUUUAAAUCCAAAUUUCAAAUCAAUCGUUUCUAGAUUCAACUCGCGUAUAAUUACUCGCGUAUCGCAUAAUCGCCACCGUGAAAUUGCGUUGAUUAUUUCUCAAUCGCCGAGUUACUUAUCGUCCAAUAGAGCGCGAUAUUUGCACUUCAAAUGAAAGAAAUACAACAUCGAAGGUUUCCACAUCGAAGAAGAUUGCACAACAGGUCGAAGUGCACGUAUCCCCCUGGAUGACGCGCAAGCUAGCAUAUUUCAAACAUCUCGUCCCAUUCAAUUCGAGUCGAAGGGAGAUACAACCCCUGUCCGGUAAUAUCACCGACGAAUUUAAUGUCCGACUAUUAGCAGCGGGGUACGGUUGGCGCAUUGUUGGAGUGGCCACGUGCAGGAUGACUGGCUCGGGAGGAAACGUUUGAUCGUCGAGCCGUCGUAGUACGAGAGAA